CGAUGCUGCCCUCGGAGAAGCGCUCCGGGUUCCCGGGAAACAUGGAAACGUUCUUGGUGACCAGCAGGGCCAGGUGACCGGCUGUGGUUUCCCGGACCAGCUCUGGAGGAGACCAAGGAAACGGCCAGACGGCCCAUUGUGAGGAUAAAGAGCCAUCAAGUAAAAUGAUCUGAAGUCCAGCCCCACGUAAGGAGCAUCUUGGUGCACCAGGCGCUGGAAUGUUCCCAAGGGCCUAUGAGGUCCCUGCUCAGCCCCAGCUGUCAGGGAACAAGAGAGGAGCGUGUCACUCACACAGGAGCAGCAGAUGAAGACCAUGCAGAAGGCCUCCAUGAU